rnacentral:rRNA from 1 species
ACGUACGGGAUAUUGGGCGUAAGAGCUCGUAGGCGGUUUGUCGCGUCUGCUGUGAAAUCCCGAGGCUCAACCUCGGGUCUGCAGUGGGUACGGGCAGACUAGAGUGCGGUAGGGGAGAUUGGAAUUCCUGGUGUAGCGGUGGAAUGCGCAGAUAUCAGGAGGAACACCGAUGGCGAAGGCAGAUCUCUGGGCCGUUACUGACGCUGAGGAGCGAAAGGGUGGGGAGCAAACAGGCUUAGAUACCCUGGUAGUCCACCCCGUAAACGUUGGGAACUAGUUGUGGGGUCCAUUCCACGGAUUCCGUGACGCAGCUAACGCAUUAAGUUCCCCGCCUGGGGAGUACGGCCGCAAGGCUAAAACUCAAAUGAAAUUGACGGAUAUCACCCGGGGUCGAACUUGACCAUAAAAAACCAUGCUUCUCGUGAUAAAACUACCGACAAGAGGUAUCGUCGUCUUAAUGGGAGCGGCUUUUCCUCGUUGGCCACCCCCCGGAGGUUGCUGACCAUUUUCCCCUUGCCCCAGAGCACAAUAGUGAUAUCCGUCUGAUACACCCGUCUCCGCAUUGAGAGAACCCAACCCCCGCGGCUGCUGGCACACUU